AUUAACUACAAACUUAACAGGAUUUGAACAAUCCACCGUCUUUCAGGUAGCAAGCACAGAGAUAGCAUCAGCUUCAUUAGAGAAUCCCGAGCUACUCACUGAAUGGCUGUAACAACCCACUUCUACCAUGACUCAAGGAGAUAACUGAUAUCCUAGCCUGGAGAAAUCCCACUGACUGCUCAAUUUCUAGGAGAGGCUUCCAAGGUGAAGGGGCACUGAACAGAGCAUACUGGAAUCAUCUUACAUUGUACUUCAUCACUUGUCCAGGAAUGGAGGCCUUGACUCCCUUUUCAAGGGUGCUUCCCAUACCAUCUUUAUUUUCAGAGCAGUUCACGAGGCAUGUUAGAAAACUUCUGAUAUGAAUCUGCCUGCAAGAGCAGUGAAGCAGAAGUUUCCCAAAACAUCCACUUCUCAUACUCUCUUACACUGAACCAGGUCAGACAGAAAGAUUUGAUAGAUCAGGCUUGUAAAUUCAAUAUUCGG
ensembl:lncRNA